GUGGAUUAGAUACCCUGGUAGUCCUAGCUGUAAACGAUGUUGACUUGGCGUUGGUGGGGUAAAAGCCAUCAGUGCCGUAGCUAACGCGAUAAGUCAACCGCCUGGGGACUACGGCCGCAAGGUUAAAACUCAAAGGAAUUGACGGGGGCCCGCACAAGCAGCGGAGCGUGUGGUUUAAUUCGAUGCUACGCGAAGAACCUUACCCGGGUUUGACAUAUAGGUAGUAGGGAUCUGAAAGGUGACCGACCCUUCGGGGAGCCUAUACAGGUGCUGCACGGCUGUCGCCAACU
rnacentral:rRNA from 1 species